rnacentral:rRNA from 1 species
GAGUAGUAAUAGUUAUGGUCUAGGAACUCAAAAAAUUUGGCGGUAUUUUAUCUUAUCAGAGGAACCUGUUUAGUAAUUGAUAUCCCACAACUUAUAUUUACUUUUAUUAUUAUAUUUGUAUACCGCCGUCAUGAAUCUAUUAAAAAAUUUAAUUUUCCGUUAUUCUUAUGGAAUACAUGUUAGGUCAAGGUGCAGUGUGUAAAAGUUAUAAAUGGGUUACUUUAGUAUCAUGAAUGAAAUAAAAUAUAAAAAACUGUUAUGAAAUAGGAUUUGAUAGUAAACUAAUUUAGAGAAUUAAUGAAAAGAU